rnacentral:sRNA from 1 species
GCCGGGCAUGGUAGCUCAUGCCUGUAAUCCCAGCACUUUGGGAGGCUGAGGCGGGUGGAUCACCUGAGGUCAGGAGUUCAAGACCAGCCUGGCCAACAUGGUGAAACCCUGUCUCUA